UGUUUCCGUGUGAGUUCCGGUUGUUUCCGUGUGAAUUCCGGGUGUUUUUGUGUGAAUUCCGUGUGUUUCCGUGAGUUCCGGCUGUUCCUGGGGUGGUUUCCGGUUGUUUCCGUGAGUUCCGGGUGUUCCUGUGUUGGUUUCUGUGUGAAUUCCGGCUGUUUCCGUGCGAGUUCCGUGUGUUUCUGUGAGUUCCGGCUGUUCCUGGGGUGGUUUCCGUGCGAGUUCCGGUUGUUUCCGUGUGAAUUCCGGUUGUUUCCAUGAGUUCCAGGUGUUUCUGUGGUGGUUUUUGGGUGAAUUCCGGGUGUUUCUGUGUGAAUUCCGGUUGUUUCCGUGUGAGUUUCGGGUGUUCCUGUGGUGGUUUCUGUGUGAAUUCCGGGUAUUUCCGUGUGAGUUCCGGUUGUUUCCGUGUGAGUUCCGGGUGUUUCCGUGUGAGUUCCGGUUGUUUCCGUGUGAGUUCCGGUGGUUUCCGUGUGAGUUCCGGUUGUUUCUGUGUGAGUUCCGGUUGUUUCCGUGUGAGUUCCUGUGGUGGUUUUUGGGUGAAUUCCGGCUGUUUCCGUGCGAGUUCCGGGUGUUUCCGCGAGCUCCGGCUGUUCCUGGGCUGCCCCCGCAGCCGGGGGGCUCGCGGGGUCCCUCUGAGCGCGCCGUUGCCGGGCAGGUGGCGCGGGCCGGGCGUUUCGGCACCAAGGGCUUGGCCAUCACCUUCGUGUCGGACGAGAACGACGCCAAAAUCCUCAACG
rnacentral:lncRNA from 1 species